CGACUUGGAGGUUGUGCCCUUGAGGCGUGGCUUCCGGAGCUAACGCGUUAAGUCGACCGCCUGGGGAGUACGGCCGCAAGGUUAAAACUCAAAUGAAUUGACGGGGGCCCGCACAAGCGGUGGAGCAUGUGGUUUAAUUCGAUGCAACGCGAAGAACCUUACCUACUCUUGACAUCCAGAGAACUUUCCAGAGAUGGAUUGGUGCCUUCGGGAACUCUGAGACAGGUGCUGCAUGGCUGUCGUCAGCUCGUGUUGUGAAAUGUUGGGUUAAGUCCCGCAACGAGCGCAACCCUUAUCCUUUGUUGCCAGCGGUCCGGCCGGGAACUCAAAGGAGACUGCCAGUGAUAAACUGGAGGAAGGUGGGGAUGACGUCAAGUCAUCAUGGCCCUUACGAGUAGGGCUACACACGUGCUACAAUGGCGCAUACAAAGAGAAGCGACCUCGCGAGAGCAAGCGGACCUCAUAAAGUGCGUCGUAGUCCGGAUUGGAGUCUGCAACUCGACUCCAUGAAGUCGGAAUCGCUAGUAAUCGUAGAUCAGAAUGCUACGGUGAAUACGUUCCCGAGCCUUGUACACACCGCCCGUCACACCAUGGGAGUGGGUUGCAAAAGAAGUAGGUAGCUUAAACUUCGGGAGGGCGCUUACCACUUUGUGAUUCAUGACUGGGGUGAAGUCGUAACAAGGUACC
rnacentral:rRNA from 1 species